UCAGGGUUAAAUUAUAGGUGAAAAUCCUUUAUAUCUUU
rnacentral:tRNA from 1 species